GAAUGAAAAGUAAACCAUUUACACUCAGUUUCGACCUGAAAAUUGGCACUAAUGCCUUCAUUUA
rnacentral:tRNA from 1 species